rnacentral:rRNA from 1 species
UUGCACGCUGGCGGCAGGCCUAACACAUUCAAGUCGAACGGUAACAGGAAGAAGCUUGCUUCUUUGCUGACGAGUGGCGGACGGGUGAGUAAUGUCUGGGAAACUGCCUGAUGGAGGGGGAUAACUACUGGAAACGGUAGCUAAUACCGCAUAACGUCGCAAGACCAAAGAGGGGGACCUUCGGGCCUCUUGCCAUCGGAUGUGCCCAGAUGGGAUUAGCUAGUAGGUGGGGUAACGGCUCACCUAGGCGACGAUCCCUAGCUGGUCUGAGAGGAUGACCAGCCACACUGGAACUGAGACACGGUCCAGACUCCUACGGGAGGCAGCAGUGGGGAAUAUUGCACAAUGGGCGCAAGCCUGAUGCAGCCAUGCCGCGUGUAUGAAGAAGGCCUUCGGGUUGUAAAGUACUUUCAGCGGGGAGGAAGGGAGUAAAGUUAAUACCUUUGCUCAUUGACGUUACCCGCAGAAGAAGCACCGGCUAACUCCGU